rnacentral:tRNA from 1 species
GCGUCUGUGGUCCAAGGAAAGACGCCCGCCAGCCGGCGGGAAAUGCAGGUGCAAGGCCUGCCGGGCGCUCCA